UAUUGCUCGUGAUCGGCGGGUACUUUUUGGGCAGACGGUCGGACUCGGGAGAGAGUAGACCCCUGUUAUGUUAAUUCGAGGGAAAUGGUGAUUGGCACUUUCGCUGUUAGGAGGGUUCGUGGAUGCAAGUCCCCACUUCAGAAGGGCGCCAUGCCGAGUGGAUUAUGGAAAUGAAGUGAGUCUGUGUUAGGGAGGAAAACAGCACGCGAAAUCAAUAUGAUUAUAUGUAUCCAAUGCGAGCAGCACCCCCAAUAAAUUAGUGAUACCCAUCGUUCAUAUGACGCUCUACAAUAUCCACUAAUUUUCUGGAAGGGACAAGACGGAUAUUGUGUAAACAUUAAACGACGAGAUCCCGUAACAGGAGCCGAAACAAAUAAGAACGUUAGUCAGAAGGAUUUUUAUUCGUAUAGUUUGAUGAUUAGUCGCGGCCGAGACAACAUCAUUUUACGUUGUCGAGAGCUUUGCCAACAAUUUAUGGUCGACAUGUAUGCGAAGAUAGAGAGUGAACGACUUCGAUCAAUCAACAGAAACUGCGUGCGGAAGAAUAUAUUCACUUGCGAGGUGCCAUUUCGAACAACGCUGACACUGCCGAAAUUGGUAAUUCUGUUAUCUUACCAUCAUCGUACGUAGGUAGUUUACGUAACAUGCAAGAACACAUACAGGAUGCUAUGGCUUUCGUGCGUGAAUAUGGACGACCGUGUCUUUUCAUUACUUUUACAUGUAAUCCAAAAUUAGGAAAUUACAUCGUUGCUAUUACUAGGAUAAAAUGCAAUAAAUCGUCAUGACAUAACA